rnacentral:sRNA from 1 species
AUGUAGUUACCGGCGGCCACGAUGAGAGG